GUGCCAGCAGCCGCGGUAAUACGUAGGUGGCAAGCGUUGUCCGGAAUUAUUGGGCGUAAAGGGCGCGUAGGCGGCACUUUAAGUCAGAUGUGAAAACCCGGGGCUCAACCCCGGAGGUGCAUUUGAAACUGGAGAGCUUGAGUGCAGGAGAGGUAAGUGGAAUUCCUAGUGUAGCGGUGAAAUGCGUAGAUAUUAGGAGGAACACCAGUGGCGAAGGCGACUUACUGGACUGUAACUGACGCUGAGGCGCGAAAGCGUGGGGAGCAAACAGGAUUAGAAACCCGGGUAGUCC
rnacentral:rRNA from 1 species